AUUGAAAGAUGGAGGCAGGCCUAACACAUGCAAGUCGAGCGGAUGAAGGGAGCUUGCUCCUGGAUUCAGCGGCGGACGGGUGAGUAAUGCCUAGGAAUCUGCCUGGUAGUGGGGGAUAACGUCCGGAAACGGGCGCUAAUACCGCAUACGUCCUGAGGGAGAAAGUGGGGGAUCUUCGGACCUCACGCUAUCAGAUGAGCCUAGGUCGGAUUAGCUAGUUGGUGGGGUAAAGGCCUACCAAGGCGACGAUCCGUAACUGGUCUGAGAGGAUGAUCAGUCACACUGGAACUGAGACACGGUCCAGACUCCUACGGGAGGCAGCAGUGGGGAAUAUUGGACAAAGGGCGAAAGCCUGAUCCAGCCAUGCCGCGUGUGUGAAGAAGGUCUUCGGAUUGUAAAGCACUUUAAGUUGGGAGGAAGGGCAGUAAGUUAAUACCUUGCUGUUUUGACGUUACCAACAGAAUAAGCACCGGCUAACUUCGUG
rnacentral:rRNA from 1 species